rnacentral:rRNA from 1 species
UACGUAGGGCGCAAGCGUUGUCCGGAAUUAUUGGGCGUAAAGAGCUCGUAGGCGGCUUGUCACGUCGGGUGUGAAAGCCCGGGGCUUAACCCCCGGGUCUGCAUUCGAUACGGGCUAGCUAGAGUGUGGUAGGGGAGAUCGGAAUUCCUGGUGUAGCGGUGAAAUGCGCAGAUAUCAGGAGGAACACCGGUGGCGAAGGCGGGUCUCUGGGCCGAUACUGACGCUGAGGAGCGAAAAGCGUGGGGGAGCGAACAGG